rnacentral:tRNA from 1 species
AUUAGCUCAAUUGGUAGAGCAUCUGACUCUUAAUCAGAGGGUUCGGGGUUCGAUUCCCUGAU